rnacentral:rRNA from 1 species
UACGUAGGAUCCAAGCGUUGUCCGGAUUUACUGGGUGUAAAGGGUGCGCAGGCGGACUUAUAAGUCAGUGGUGAAAUCUCACAGCUUAACUGUGAAACUGCCUUUGAUACUGAGGAUCUUGAGUACGGGAGAGGUGAGUGGAACUGCGAGUGUAGAGGUGAAAUUCGUAGAUAUUCGCAAGAACACCAGUGGCGAAGGCGGCUCACUGGCCCGUUACUGACGCUGAGGCACGAAAGCGUGGGGAGCAAACAGG